rnacentral:rRNA from 1 species
UGGGGAAUAUUGCACAAUGGGCGAAAGCCUGAUGCAGCAACGCCGCGUGAGUGAUGAAGGCCUUCGGGUAGUAAAACUCUGUCCUCAAGGAGGAUAAUGACGGUACA